rnacentral:rRNA from 1 species
GAUGAACGCUGGCGGCGUGCCUAAUACAUGCAAGUCGAGCGAACGGAUGAGAAGCUUGCUUCUCUGAUGUUAGCGGCGGACGGGUGAGUAACACGUGGAUAACCUACCUAUAAGACUGGGAUAACUUCGGGAAACCGGAGCUAAUACCGGAUAAUAUUUUGAACCGCAUGGUUCAAAAGUGAAAGACGGUCUUGCUGUCACUUAUAGAUGGAUCCGCGCUGCAUUAGCUAGUUGGUAAGGUAACGGCUUACCAAGGCAACGAUGCAUAGCCGACCUGAGAGGGUGAUCGGCCACACUGGAACUGAGACACGGUCCAGACUCCUACGGGAGGCAGCAGUAGGGAAUCUUCCGCAAUGGGCGAAAGCCUGACGGAGCAACGCCGCGUGAGUGAUGAAGGUCUUCGGAUCGUAAAACUCUGUUAUUAGGGAAGAACAUAUGUGUAAGUAACUGUGCACAUCUUGACGGUACCUAAUAAGAAAGCCACGGCUAACUACGUG